rnacentral:rRNA from 1 species
GUAGGGUGCGAGCGUUAAUCGGAAUUACUGGGCGUAAAGCGUGCGCAGGCGGUUUGGUAAGUCAGAUGUGAAAUCCCCGGGCUCAACCUGGGAACUGCAUUUGAGACUGCCAAGCUGGAGUUUGGCAGAGGGGGUGGAAUUCCACGUGUAGCAGUGAAAUGCGUAGAGAUGUGGAGGAACACCGAUGGCGAAGGCAGCCCCCUGGGCCAAUACUGACGCUCAUGCACGAAAGCGUGGGGAGCAAACAGGAUUAGAUACCCUGGUAGUCCACGCCCUAAACGAUGUCAACUAGGUGUUGGGAGGGUUAAACCUUUUAGUGCCGUAGCUAACGCGUGAAGUUGACCGCCUGGGGAGUACGGCCGCAAGGCUAAAAACUCAAAGGAAUUGACGGGGACCCGCACAAGCGGUGGAUGAUGUGGAUUAAUUCGAUGCAACGCGAAAAAACCUUACCUACCCUUGACAUGUCAGGAAUCCUGGAGAGAUCUGGGAGUGCUCGCAAGAGAACCUGAACACAGGUGCUGCAUGG